rnacentral:rRNA from 1 species
AUUAGUAUUAGUUAAGUUCUUGAAAAUUAAAGAAUGUGGCGGUAUUNNACACUUUUCAGAGGAACUUGUCCUGUAAUUGAUAGUCCACGAWUUUAWUUAAUUUUUUUUUUAGUUUAUAUAUCGUCGUUAUUAAAAAUUUUAUAAAAAUUAGUUAUUUUUAGAAUUUUAAAUUAAAAAAUAAAUCAGAUCAAGAUGUAGUUAAUAAGUAAGUAGAGAUGAGUUACAUUAAAUUUAUGAAAGGAGAUUUAUUAUUGUAAUAMAUUGAAUUUGGAUUUGAAAGUAAUUUAAAUUAAUUAAUUUAUAUGAUUAGGU